AGAGCUGUGUUGUGAUGGGCCAGGUCUAGUAGAGCUGUGUUGUGAUGGGCCAGGUCUAGUAGAGCUGUGUUGUGAUGGGCCAGGUCCAGUAGAGCUGUGUUGUGAUGGGCCAGGUCUAGUAGAGCUGUGUUGUGAUGGGCCAGGUCUAGUAGAGCUGUGUUGUGAUGGGCCUGGUCUAGUAGAGCUGUGUUGUGAUGGGUCUGGUCUAGUAGAGCUGUGUUGUGAUGGGUCUGGUCUAGUAGAGCUGUGUUGUGAUGGGCCUGGUCUAGUAGAGCUGUGUUGUGAUGGGUCUGGUCUAGUAGAGCUGUGUUGGGAUGGGCCAGGUCUAGUAGAGCUGUGUUGGGAUGGGCCAGGUCUAGUAGAGCUGUGUUGUGAUGGGUCUGGUCUAGUAGAGCUGUGUUGUGAUGGGUCUGGUCUAGUAGAGCUGUGUUGUGAUGGGCCUGGUCUAGUAGAGCUGUGUUGUGAUGGGUCUGGUCUA
rnacentral:lncRNA from 1 species